AUUAAAAGUAUUUGCAUAAUCUUUUGUUUACCCCUCAAUUUCCCUAUUGUUCAAAGCCCUUCCCACUUGAAGUAAUUAAAUUCCUGGUCUAGACGGGGUAUCCAGAUAGAUACACGUGAUGUAAAUUACACCAUGUCAUUGGCCGAAAUGUAUGAAUAUCUAAUGAUGUGUGAGAACUUUAUUUAUCCACGCUGACCCCGUCAACCGUAGCUGAUUUCCACGGGGGGCGUGUGCCAGAAAAUUAUUUUACAUGCAGAAUAUGAUAAUGACA